rnacentral:rRNA from 1 species
UACGGAGGAUGCGAGCGUUAUCCGGAUUUAUUGGGUUUAAAGGGUGCGUAGGCGGAACAUUAAGUCAGCGGUAAAAUCGAGGGGCUCAACCCCUUUAAGCCGUUGAAACUGGUGAUCUUGAGUGGGCGAGAAGUAUGCGGAAUGCGUGGUGUAGCGGUGAAAUGCAUAGAUAUCGCGCAGAACCCCGAUUGCGAAGGCAGCCUGCCGGCCCCACACUGACGCUGAGGCACGAAAGCGUGGGUAUCGAACAGG